rnacentral:lncRNA from 1 species
UCUGCCUGGCAGCUGCUUUCUUGAAUUUGAGGUUCCAGAGGUUUUGUGUUUCCAGGCACCUUUCAUGCAUCCUUGCCUUUGCACACUGUUUUUCAUCUGGUGUCUGGGGAUCUGACACUAAUCCCUGAAGGCCAAGCUCAAAUGCCACGUAGAAAUCCCACUGGGCCUGGAAGAAAUGUCAGUGUGGGAAGAUCUCUCUCAAGGCAUCAC